GAUGAACGCUGGCGGCGUGCCUAAUACAUGCAAGUCGAGCGAGCGGACGAGAAGCUUGCUUCUCUGAUGUUAGCGGCGGACGGGUGAGUAACACGUGGAUAACCUACCUAUAAGACUGGGAUAACUUCGGGAAACCGGAGCUAAUACCGGAUGAUAUUUUGAACCGCAUGGUUCAAAAGUGAAAGACGGUCUUGCUGUCACUUAUAGAUGGAUCCGCGCUGCAUUAGCUAGUUGGUAAGGUAACGGCUUACCAAGGCAACGAUGCAUAGCCGACCUGAGAGGGUGAUCGGCCACACUGGAACUGAGACACGGUCCAGACUCCUACGGGAGGCAGCAGUAGGGAAUCUUCCGCAAUGGGCGAAAGCCUGACGGAGCAACGCCGCGUGAGUGAUGAAGGUCUUCGGAUCGUAAAACUCUGUUAUUAGGGAAGAACAUAUGUGUAAGUAACUGUGCACAUCCUGACGGUACCUAAUCAGAAAGCCACGGCUAACUACGUG
rnacentral:rRNA from 1 species